AGGAAAGAAGGGAGGCUAUGAAGAUUGACCAGUCUAGAGAUGACAACAUGGGUAUAGGCAGAUUUGAGGAAGGUAUGGGAGAGUCGCAGGGAGGCGCUCAGGCCUCAGGUUUUGGCUAUUCAGCCUUUCCGCAGGACCCAGAGUAUCCGAUGGGAGGUAUGUCGGAGUACUCUAGUUUUGUCCCAUAUCCUACUUACAUGCCAUAUAUGCCUUAUCCUCCUUAUUAUCCACCAUAUCCUAUGUAUCCACCUUCCCCUACCCAUCCAAGUGCAGCACACCCA
rnacentral:lncRNA from 1 species